rnacentral:rRNA from 1 species
AGGUAGUGACAAGAAAUAACAAUACAGGGCGAAUGUCUUGUAAUUGGAAUGAUGGUGACCCAAACCCUCACCAGAGUAGCAAUUGGAGGGCAAGUCUGGUGCCAGCAGCCGCGGUAAUUCCAGCUCCAAUAGCGUAUAUUAAACUUGUUGCAGUUAAAAAGCUCGUAGUUGUAUUUUUGCGUUGACGGUUUGACCAUUUGGUUGGUUAUUUCGUUUUCGCUUUUGGGAAUUUCCCUUUUUACUUUGAGAAAAUUAGAGUGUUUCAAGCAGACUUUUGUCUUGAAUACUUCAGCAUGGAAUAAUAGAGUAGGACUUUGGU